rnacentral:misc_RNA from 1 species
GAUGAAGAACGUAGCGAAAUGCGAUACUUGGUGUGAAUUGCAGAAUCCCGUGAACCAUCGAGUCUUUGAACGCAAGUUGCGCCCGAAGCCAUUAGGCCGAGGGCACGCCUGCCUGGGCGUCACACGUCGUUGCCCCCCCAUCUACUCCUUCGGGAUUGCGGGGGGCGGAUGAUGGCCUCCCGUGCGCCUCGUCGCGCGGUUGGCAUAAAUGCCAAGUCCUCGGCGACGCACGCCACGACAAUCGGUGGUUGCGAAACCUCGGUUGCCCGUCGUGUGCGGUCGUCGCGCAUCGAGGGCUCGAAAAAAUUGCCGAGUUCCGGCUCGGCUUUCAACGCGACCCCAGGUCAGGCGGGGUUACCCGCUGAAUUUAAGCAUAUCAAAAGCGGAGGA